rnacentral:rRNA from 1 species
AUACGUAGGGGGCGAGCGUUGUCCGGAAUGAUUGGGCGUAAAGGGCGCGUAGGCGGCCCGGUAAGUCUGGAGUGAAAGUCCUGCUUUUAAGGUGGGAAUUGCUUUGGAUACUGUCGGGCUUGAGUGCAGGAGAGGUAAGUGGAAUUCCCAGUGUAGCGGUGAAAUGCGUAGAGAUUGGGAGGAACACCAGUGGCGAAGGCGACUUACUGGACUGUAACUGACGCUGAGGCGCGAAAGUGUGGGGAGCAAACAGGAUUAGAUACCCUGGUAGUCCACACCGUAAACGAUGAAUGCUAGGUGUAGGGGGUAUCGACCCCUUCUGUGCCGCAGUUAACACAAUAAGCAUUCCGCCUGGGGAGUACGGCCGCAAGGUUGAAACUCAAAUGAAUUGACGGGG